AGUGAACGCUGGCGGUAGGCCUAACACAUGCAAGUCGAACGGCAGCACAGUAAGAGCUUGCUCUUACGGGUGGCGAGUGGCGGACGGGUGAGGAAUACAUCGGAAUCUACUUUUUCGUGGGGGAUAACGUAGGGAAACUUACGCUAAUACCGCAUACGACCUACGGGUGAAAGCAGGGGAUCUUCGGACCUUGCGCGAUUGAAUGAGCCGAUGUCGGAUUAGCUAGUUGGCGGGGUAAAGGCCCACCAAGGCGACGAUCCGUAGCUGGUCUGAGAGGAUGUCCGGCACACUGGGACUGGGAAACCGGCCCAACACCUAAGGGGGGGCAGAGGUGGGAAAUUUGGAGAAUGGGGCGAAACCCUGACCCACCCAAACCGGGGGGGUGAAAAAGGCCUUGGGGUUGUAAAGCCCUUUUUUUGGGAAAAAAAAGCAGCAGGUUAAUCCCCCGCUUUUCUGACGGUCCCCAAAGAAAAAGCACCGGCUAACUUCGU
rnacentral:rRNA from 1 species